rnacentral:lncRNA from 10 species
AUUCUACAGAUCGUUUCUACUAUUUGAGGGAUUAUGAUGAGCUUUGCCACACCAGCAACUUCUUGCCCAACACUGGAGGCUUUAACUUCCUGCGAGGUUCAGGCAAUGUCAAGCUGGCCUCUGGGAGGAAGACAGGCAAGGCUACCUGCAUAAAUACUGUCCAAAAAGCCCUUGCACUGCUGGGAGCCAGAGAGCUGCUUCGUCAUUCCCCAAAAGUGCUGGUUUGAAACUUGUGUUCGAGGAGCACUGGAUUUCCAAUUGCCUUGCAGACUGCCAGCGACACUCCCUGAAAAAUCCUUCAGCCUUCAUACACAGCUCCUUUCACCUCUUAGUAACAAAAUGCUCAUCCUUGGGCACUUGACCAUUUAUGCAGCAUUUCACAGCAUCUCAUCCAAUGCUUACCUCCAUCCUCAGUAGUAAGCAGGAUGUAUGGUACAACCUUCAUUUUAGUGAUGGAAGAACUGAAAAACUCAAAGAGGUGGGAUACUCAUCCAACACUCCCAAUAAGUCAGUAGCAAAUCCAGCAGUAGAAGAACCCAAGUUCUGCCUGGCUAGUUUCUACUCUCCCCUGAGUGCUGGAUUCUCUGGUACAUUCAUAACUCUGUUCUGCCUUGCACACAAAUCAUCUAACCCCUGAAGAAAAGCAUUUCCUCCCAGGGGCAUCUUUCCAUCUCUGAGUCCUGUUGUGCCUGCUGACACUAGCAAACUCUCAUUCCCCAUCUGAAUGAGGCAUUUUUAUUUUUGAAGAUGGCCUAUUUGGAAAAUCCCUAAAACAGUGUUUCCCAAACCCAGGAUCUGUGGCCCACUGAGGGUUUGUUGUUAUAUUCUUAAGUGUCUACAAGAAGUUUAUAUGUACGUUCAUAUUCCUAAGCUUUUAAAAAACAAACAGAAAAGCAAAAAAGCUGAAUGACCAGCUCAUAUUUAAGGACUGCCAGAGGAUUUCAGCAUUUCUGCACUCAUAUUUAUGAGCAUUCUGCAAACUACACAGC